rnacentral:rRNA from 1 species
UACGAAGGGGGCUAGCGUUGCUCGGAAUCACUGGGCGUAAAGGGUGCGUAGGCGGGUUUUUAAGUCAGGGGUGAAAUCCUGGAGCUCAACUCCAGAACUGCCUUUGAUACUGAAGAUCUUGAGUUCGGGAGAGGUGAGUGGAACUGCGAGUGUAGAGGUGAAAUUCGUAGAUAUUCGCAAGAACACCAGUGGCGAAGGCGGCUCACUGGACCGGUUCUGACGCUGAGGCGCGAAAGCGUGGGGAGCAAACGGG